rnacentral:rRNA from 1 species
UACGUAGGGUGCAAGCGUUAAUCGGAAUUACUGGGCGUAAAGCGUGCGCAGGCGGUUAUGCAAGACAGAUGUGAAAUCCCCGGGCUCAACCUGGGAACUGCAUUUGUGACUGCAUGGCUAGAGUACGGUAGAGGGGGAUGGAAUUCCGCGUGUAGCAGUGAAAUGCGUAGAUAUGCGGAGGAACACCGAUGGCGAAGGCAAUCCCCUGGACCUGUACUGACGCUCAUGCACGAAAGCGUGGGGAGCAAACGGG